rnacentral:rRNA from 1 species
ACUCAAAUGAAUUGACGGGGGCCCGCACAAGCAGUGGAGCAUGCGGUUUAAUUCGAUGCUACGCGAAAAACCUUACCAACUCUUGACAUGUUGGUCGCGGAGACCAGAAAUGGACUCUUUCAGUUCGGCUGGACCAAACACAGGUGUUGCAUGGCUGUCGUCAGCUCGUGUCGUGAGAUGUUGGGUUAAGUCCCGCAACGAGCGCAACCCCCAUCCUUAUUUGCCAACAGGUUAAGCUGGGAACUAUAAGGAAACUGCUGGUGAUAAACCAGAGGAAGGUGGGGAUGAUGUCAAGUCAUCAUGGCCCUUACGAGUUGGGCUACACGCGUGCUACAAUGGUGGUUACAGUGAGAAGCAAUAGGGUGACCUGGAGCAAAUCUACAAAAGCCAUCUCAGUUCGGAUUGUACUCUGCAACUCGAGUACAUGAAGUCGGAAUUGCUAGUAAUCGCGCAUCAGCAUGGCGCGGUGAAUACGUUCCCGGGCCUUGCACACACCGCCCGU